rnacentral:tRNA from 1 species
GCGCCCAUAGCUCAAAGGAUAGAGUACCAGCCUGCGAAGCUGAGGAUCCAGGUUCGAUUCCUGGUGGGCGCA